rnacentral:sRNA from 1 species
GCCUGGUGUGGUGGUGCACACCUAUAAUCCCAGCACUGGGGAGGCUGAAGCAGGAAGAUCAACUGAAAUCAGGAGUUCAAGACCAGCCUGGGCAACAUAUUGAGAUUCCAUUUCAA